rnacentral:rRNA from 1 species
GGUUAAGCGACUAAGCGUACACGGUGGAUGCCCUGGCAGUCAGAGGCGAUGAAGGACGUGCUAAUCUGCGAUAAGCGUCGGUAAGGUGAUAUGAACCGUUAUAACCGGCGAUUUCCGAAUGGGGAAACCCAGUGUGUUUCGACACACUAUCAUUAACUGAAUCCAUAGGUUAAUGAGGCGAACCGGGGGAACUGAAACAUCUAAGUACCCCGAGGAAAAGAAAUCAACCGAGAUUCCCCCAGUAGCGGCGAGCGAACGGGGAGGAGCCCAGAGCCUGAAUCAGUGUGUGUGUUAGUGGAAGCGUCUGGAAAGGCGCGCGAUACAGGGUGACAGCCCCGUACACAAAAAUGCACAUGCUGUGAGCUCGAUGAGUAGGGCGGGACACGUGGUAUCCUGUCUGAAUAUGGGGGGACCAUCCUCCAAGGCUAAAUACUCCUGACUGACCGAUAGUGAACCAGUACCGUGAGGGAAAGGCGAAAAGAACCCCGGCGAGGGGAGUGAAAAAGAACCUGAAACCGUGUACGUACAAGCAGUGGGAGCACGCUUAGGCGUGUGACUGCGUACCUUUUGUAUAAUGGGUCAGCGACUUAUAUUCUGUAGCAAGGUUAACCGAAUAGGGGAGCCGAAGGGAAACCGAGUCUUAACUGGGCGUUAAGUUGCAGGGUAUAGACCCGAAACCCGGUGAUCUAGCCAUGGGCAGGUUGAAGGUUGGGUAACACUAACUGGAGGACCGAACCGACUAAUGUUGAAAAAUUAGCGGAUGACUUGUGGCUGGGGGUGAAAGGCCAAUCAAACCGGGAGAUAGCUGGUUCUCCCCGAAAGCUAUUUAGGUAGCGCCUCGUGAACUCAUCUCCGGGGGUAGAGCACUGUUUCGGCAAGGGGGUCAUCCCGACUUACCAACCCGAUGCAAACUGCGAAUACCGGAGAAUGUUAUCACGGGAGACACACGGCGGGUGCUAACGUCCGUCGUGAAGAGGGAAACAACCCAGACCGCCAGCUAAGGUCCCAAAGUCAUGGUUAAGUGGGAAACGAUGUGGGAAGGCCCAGACAGCCAGGAUGUUGGCUUAGAAGCAGCCAUCAUUUAAAGAAAGCGUAAUAGCUCACUGGUCGAGUCGGCCUGCGCGGAAGAUGUAACGGGGCUAAACCAUGCACCGAAGCUGCGGCAGCGACACUGUGUGUUGUUGGGUAGGGGAGCGUUCUGUAAGCCUGUGAAGGUGUACUGUGAGGUAUGCUGGAGGUAUCAGAAGUGCGAAUGCUGACAUAAGUAACGAUAAAGCGGGUGAAAAGCCCGCUCGCCGGAAGACCAAGGGUUCCUGUCCAACGUUAAUCGGGGCAGGGUGAGUCGACCCCUAAGGCGAGGCCGAAAGGCGUAGUCGAUGGGAAACAGGUUAAUAUUCCUGUACUUGGUGUUACUGCGAAGGGGGGACGGAGAAGGCUAUGUUGGCCGGGCGACGGUUGUCCCGGUUUAAGCGUGUAGGCUGGUUUUCCAGGCAAAUCCGGAAAAUCAAGGCUGAGGCGUGAUGACGAGGCACUACGGUGCUGAAGCAACAAAUGCCCUGCUUCCAGGAAAAGCCUCUAAGCAUCAGGUAACAUCAAAUCGUACCCCAAACCGACACAGGUGGUCAGGUAGAGAAUACCAAGGCGCUUGAGAGAACUCGGGUGAAGGAACUAGGCAAAAUGGUGCCGUAACUUCGGGAGAAGGCACGCUGAUAUGUAGGUGAAGUCCCUUGCGGAUGGAGCUGAAAUCAGUCGAAGAUACCAGCUGGCUGCAACUGUUUAUUAAAAACACAGCACUGUGCAAACACGAAAGUGGACGUAUACGGUGUGACGCCUGCCCGGUGCCGGAAGGUUAAUUGAUGGGGUCAGCGCAAGCGAAGCUCUUGAUCGAAGCCCCGGUAAACGGCGGCCGUAACUAUAACGGUCCUAAGGUAGCGAAAUUCCUUGUCGGGUAAGUUCCGACCUGCACGAAUGGCGUAAUGAUGGCCAGGCUGUCUCCACCCGAGACUCAGUGAAAUUGAACUCGCUGUGAAGAUGCAGUGUACCCGCGGCAAGACGGAAAGACCCCGUGAACCUUUACUAUAGCUUGACACUGAACAUUGAGCCUUGAUGUGUAGGAUAGGUGGGAGGCUUGGAAGUGUGGACGCCAGUCUGCAUGGAGCCGACCUUGAAAUACCACCCUUUAAUGUUUGAUGUUCUAACGUGGACCCGUGAUCCGGGUUGCGGACAGUGUCUGGUGGGUAGUUUGACUGGGGCGGUCUCCUCCUAAAGAGUAACGGAGGAGCACGAAGGUUGGCUAAUCCUGGUCGGACAUCAGGAGGUUAGUGCAAUGGCAUAAGCCAGCUUGACUGCGAGCGUGACGGCGCGAGCAGGUGCGAAAGCAGGUCAUAGUGAUCCGGUGGUUCUGAAUGGAAGGGCCAUCGCUCAACGGAUAAAAGGUACUCCGGGGAUAACAGGCUGAUACCGCCCAAGAGUUCAUAUCGACGGCGGUGUUUGGCACCUCGAUGUCGGCUCAUCACAUCCUGGGGCUGAAGUAGGUCCCAAGGGUAUGGCUGUUCGCCAUUUAAAGUGGUACGCGAGCUGGGUUUAGAACGUCGUGAGACAGUUCGGUCCCUAUCUGCCGUGGGCGCUGGAGAACUGAGGGGGGCUGCUCCUAGUACGAGAGGACCGGAGUGGACGCAUCACUGGUGUUCGGGUUGUCAUGCCAAUGGCACUGCCCGGUAGCUAAAUGCGGAAGAGAUAAGUGCUGAAAGCAUCUAAGCACGAAACUUGCCCCGAGAUGAGUUCUCCCUGACCCUUUAAGGGUCCUGAAGGAACGUUGAAGACGACGACGUUGAUAGGCCGGGUGUGUAAGCGCAGCGAUGCGUUGAGCUAACCGGUACUAAUGAACCGUGAGGCUUAACCUU